GAUGAACGCUGGCGGCGUGCCUAAUACAUGCAAGUCGAGCGAACAGACGAGGAGCUUGCCCCUCUGACGUUAGCGGCGGACGGGUGAGUAACACGUGGAUAACCUACCUAUAAGACUGGGAUAACUUCGGGAAACCGGAGCUAAUACCGGAUAAUAUAUUGAACCGCAUGGUUCAAUAGUGAAAGACGGUUUUGCUGUCACUUAUAGAUGGAUCCGCGCCGCAUUAGCUAGUUGGUAAGGUAACGGCUUACCAAGGCAACGAUGCGUAGCCGACCUGAGAGGGUGAUCGGCCACACUGGAACUGAGACACGGUCCAGACUCCUACGGGAGGCAGCAGUAGGGAAUCUUCCGCAAUGGGCGAAAGCCUGACGGAGCAACGCCGCGUGAGUGAUGAAGGUCUUCGGAUCGUAAAACUCUGUUAUUAGGGAUGAACAAAUGUGUAAGUAACUAUGCACGUCUUGACGGUACCUAAUCAGAAAGCCACGGCUAACUACGUG
rnacentral:rRNA from 1 species